CCUGAACCCUAAAAAAAUAUAUACACUUCGGCUUCUUCUUCGCCUCCCAUUCAAUCGACUCCUGCUCACCACCAUGGCCGGUGAUGACCAGAGUCGAACUAAAUCCAAUUCCGCUGCCGACAACCUAAAUCAAUCGAGUCCAAUCCCGGGAUUAAACCGUGAGAAGUACGAACAGUUCAUCAGCUCGUUCACUAAUGACGAGUGAAGGGGUAAGAUAAUCCAGUGGAUGGCAAACAUGGGGGCUAGAUUAGGCGAUGAUGGCAACUGGAUCGUUGAUUCAGGGUGUACCGAACACACAACCUACCUUCUUAAUUUGUUUCAUGGCAACUUAAAAACAACACACGAA
rnacentral:lncRNA from 1 species